rnacentral:rRNA from 1 species
CGUUAGCGGCGGACGGGUGAGUAACACGUGGGUAACCUACCUAUAAGACUGGGAUAACUUCGGGAAACCGGAGCUAAUACCGGAUAACAUUUGGAACCGCAUGGUUCUAAAGUGAAAGAUGGUUUUGCUAUCACUUAUAGAUGGACCCGCGCCGUAUUAGCUAGUUGGUAAGGUAACGGCUUACCAAGGCGACGAUACGUAGCCGACCUGAGAGGGUGAUCGGCCACACUGGAACUGAGACACGGUCCAGACUCCUACGGGAGGCAGCAGUAGGGAAUCUUCCGCAAUGGGCGAAAGCCUGACGGAGCAACGCCGCGUGAGUGAUGAAGGGUUUCGGCUCGUAAAACUCUGUUAUUAGGGAAGAACAAAUGUGUAAGUAACUGUGCACGUCUUGACGGUACCUAAUCAGAAAGCCACGGCUAACUACGUGCCAGCAGCCGCGGUAAUACGUAGGUGGCAAGCGUUAUCCGGAAUUAUUGGGCGUAAAGCGCGCGUAGGCGGUUUCUUAAGUCUGAUGUGAAAGCCCACGGCUCAACCGUGGAGGGUCAUUGGAAACUGGGAAACUUGAGUGCAGAAGAGGAAAGUGGAAUUCCAUGUGUAGCGGUGAAAUGCGCAGAGAUAUGGAGGAACACCAGUGGCGAAGGCGACU